GGAACUGUGGCUCAGUGGUAAAGCUUUGGUCUUGCAAGCUGCAUGCAAAAAAAUUUCCCAGGUUCAAUCCCUGACACUUUCA
rnacentral:tRNA from 1 species